CCUACGGGAGGCAGCAGUGAGGAAUAUUGGUCAAUGGACGAGAGUCUGAACCAGCCAAGUAGCGUGAAGGAUGACUGCCCUAUGGGUUGUAAACUUCUUUUAUAUGGGAAUAAAAUGUUCCACGUGUGGGAUUUUGUAUGUACCAUAUGAAUAAGGAUCGGCUAACUCCGUGCCAGCAGCCGCGGUAAUACGGAGGAUCCGAGCGUUAUCCGGAUUUAUUGGGUUUAAAGGGUGCGUAGGUGGAUGGUUAAGUCAGUUGUGAAAGUUUGCGGCUCAACCGUAAAAUUGCAGUUGAAACUGGCAGUCUUGAGUACAGUAGAGGUGGGCGGAAUGCGUGGUGUAGCGGUGAAAUGCUUAGAUAUCACGAAGAACUCCGAUUGCGAAGGCAGUUCACUGGACUGCAACUGACACUGAGGCUCGAAAGUGUGGGUAUCAAACAGGAUUAGAUACCCGAGUAGUC
rnacentral:rRNA from 1 species